rnacentral:rRNA from 1 species
CAGCAGCCACGGUAAUACGGAGGGUGCAAGCGUUAUCCGGAUUUAUUGGGUUUAAAGGGUCCGUAGGCGGACUUAUAAGUCAGUGGUGAAAGCCUGUCGCUUAACGAUAGAACUGCCAUUGAUACUGUAAGUCUUGAGUAUAUUUGAGGUAGCUGGAAUAAGUAGUGUAGCGGUGAAAUGCAUAGAUAUUACUUAGAACACCAAUUGCGAAGGCAGGUUACCAAGAUAUAACUGACGCUGAGGGACAAAAGCGUGGGUAGCGAACAGGAUUAGAUACCCGCGUAGUCCCUGUCUCUUAUAC